rnacentral:tRNA from 1 species
GGCUUCGUAGCUCAGCUGAUAGAGCGCUUGCCGCGUAGAGGCAUGGUGUUUCUGUCGCUGGUUCGAAUCCAGCUGAAGCCC